ACCAGCGUAGCUCAGUGGAUAACGCACACGGCUAAUAACAGAUAGGUUGUGCGUUCGAGCCCCGUCGGGGUCG